rnacentral:rRNA from 1 species
UACGUAGGGUGCAAGCGUUUGUCCGGAAUUAUUGGGCGUAAAGAGCUCGUAGGCGGUCUGUCGCGUCUGCUGUGAAAACUCGGGGCUUAACCCCGGGCCUGCAGUGGGUACGGGCAGACUAGAGUGCGGUAGGGGGAGACUGGAAUUCCUGGUGUAGCGGUGAAAUGCGCAGAUAUCAGGAGGAACACCGGUGGCGAAGGCGGGUCUCUGGGCCGUAACUGACGCUGAGGAGCGAAAGCGUGGGGAGCGAACAGG